UGCUGUCAGUAAGACUCAAGUGCGUCAUUGCAACGUUUUUUUUUCUUUAAUUGUGCGGUGUCAAUCAGAGAUAAGAUAUCUUCUUAUAGUUACAAACAUACAUACAUAUAUACAUAUACAUAUACAUACAGAGGCAUGGACAUAUACAUAGUUGUGCCCGAGUAAUAUUUGAUUAUAAAAUACAAAUUGUAAUUUUUUCAGAUGUGUGUCAAGCUAGUUCUUAUGUAUUUAAUUUUCAGUUAUUUAGUAACAAAUAACAACUCAAUACAAAUAUGCUGUACACCACAAUCAAUAUUAUACAAGAGUCAAGGAUCAAAUAACUCUACUUAUUUAAAAUGUAUUCAUGCUAUGGAUGGUCUAAAUGAAACAGUUAAUCCUACAAGUAUGGACAUGCUCGGCAAAACAGAAAGUCCACAAGGAUAUGGCUUGGAAAUUCUUAAAGAAAUUAGCAGACAUAUGAAGUUGCUACAAUGUGCACAUACCAGCAUUUUGAAUAUAUCACUGUUUACAGAAAUAUCAGUCAACGUAUCACCGGAAUCAUGCCUUCUAAUUGUAAACAACAGUCUUAUUGUUGUAACAUGUAAAUCCAGCAUUGGUGAUGAGCUUCAAAGUAUUGGUUUUGUUAACAAAUGCUGUCCCCAUGGUUACACAUAUGUCUCUGAAUUAAAUAAAUGCUAUUUACGCGAACCCGACUUCAAUGUAUACUCUUCCAUUUUCGACAAGCCAAUGAUAUUUGUCGAUAAUUCAUUCGUAUGUCCUAAAAAUAAUGUUUUAGUUGAAUAUGUGGUUGAGGCGAAAACAAUACACUUAAAAAAACGACAAAUUUUACUUAAAGACUAUGGCAGAUCGUUUAAAAGAAAUGAAUUUUGCAUUGAAGCUAUUGAAGUGUUAAUUGAAAAUAGAAACCCUCAACUCUACAAAAAUAAUGAGCAAUUUUUAGUUCGCACUUGUCAACAACUUCAAAUUUGCGAUUCGGUACCAUGUAUUCGUAAGUGUUGUGCCGACGGUGAAAUAUAUUACAAAGGGAAUAUGACGACUUCUUGUAUAGGCGAUGAAAACAAUUCUAAAUUUCAGAGUCUAGCAACUAUGAAUCUCAGUGGAGUUUUCACGAAACCCUCAGAAUUUGGAGUUUUGACCGGAUUGGAAUGCUCAAAAUUUCGCUUGGACCCGGAAUCCUUUGCUGAUGAAAGCCAUGUAAUUAGUUCAACCACAGGAUCAUUGCUGAUAUCCAGCACAAGCAAAAUUUACUCAAACAGUCAAUAUUGCAUCGAAAAAAUAAAGAACUCAUCAUAUGCUGAUCAAAAGGUUUUCUUGUAUAUUUCUUUCUGAUGGCCGCUUUUUCUUGGAUGAAUAUUACAUGUUUCGACAUAUGGAAGACUUUUGGAUCAACCAAAUCAACAAAUUUACAAAUAAGCGAGCAACGAACCCUUUUUUUAUGGUACUCUUUUUAUGGUUGGGGAAUGCCCACAGUUU
rnacentral:misc_RNA from 1 species